rnacentral:rRNA from 1 species
UACAGAGGGUGCGAGCGUUAAUCGGAAUUACUGGGCGUAAAGCGUGCGUAGACGGUAGCGUAAGUCAGAUGUGAAAGCCCCCGGGCUCAACCUGGGAAUUGCAUUUGAGACUGCUCUGCUCGGGUGCGGAAGAGGGAAGCGGAAUUUCCGGUGUAGCGGUGAAAUGCGUAGAUAUCGGAAGGAACACCAGUGGCGAAAGCGGCUUCCUGGUCCGACACCGACGUUCAGGCACGAAAGCGUGGGGAGCAAACAGGA